rnacentral:rRNA from 1 species
GACGGGGGGGGCAAGUGUUCUUCGGAAUGACUGGGCGUAAAGGGCACGUAGGCGGUGAAUCGGGUUGAAAGUGAAAGUCGCCAAAAAGUGGCGGGAAUGCUCUCGAAACCAAUUCACUUGAGUGAGACAGAGGAGAGUGGAAUUUCGUGUGUAGGGGUGAAAUCCGUAGAUCUACGAAGGAACGCCAAAAGCGAAGGCAGCUCUCUGGGGUCCCUACCGACGCUGGGUGCGAAAGCAUAGGGAAGCGAACAGGG